rnacentral:tRNA from 1 species
GCGGAAGUGGCGGAACUGGUAGACGCGCAGGCUUCAGGUGCCUGUGGUGGCAACAUCGUGGAGGUUCGAUUCCUCUCUUCCGCA